AUGCCCAAACAGCUCAUUAAAUCGCUGCCGGGCAAAGGCGAUUACAGCGUGGGGGCCAACAGGAAAGGUGGAAGCUGGCGCCUUGGGCUCGCUCGCAUCCCUCCGCACAGCGCGCUGGCCCGGGGUGCGGCCCUGAGGCACCGCUCUGCCCCUCCUGUUGCCGGGGCUCUCACCCAAAUCAACCUCCUGGCACCUGUGGGGAGGGCUGGGGACCGGCGUCUCCUGUCACCACGCUGAUUACUCACACAAUCCCAAGAUUGUUAGGGCUGGAAGGGACCUCCGGAGGUCGUCCCGUCCAACCCCCCUGCCUUGGUGACAAAGGAACGCGUCCAGAUUUUUGGAGCCACCUUGACCCAGAAAUCCUCCUUCAGGAGAACAGGCAUUGCAAAUCAAGUUGGCCUACACAGCAGGAAGAGUCUCUGGAGUCCGUACAACUCAGGAAGUGGCUCCUUUCGUGUAUGCCAACAUUGCAGCAAAUUUCUAAAAGCAUGUUUUUCUCCAAUAGAAGCCAACUUCAGAACAAGAAUUUACACAGGAGGAGAAGAUGGGUGCCCUGCCAACCAGCGAGGUUCUGCACUGUCAUAGGCAAAGUCCUGCUUCCACUUUCAGAGAGACCUUCUCUCAAGCUUCAUCUAAGUCAAGUGGCUCCCUGCAGACCACAGUGGGGACAGCAAACCCUUCUCAGCAGCCUGGCUCAGCAUCAGGUGGAACUCCAGGAGGAGCCAGUUCAGCUGCCACCUCCCAGCCCUGUGCCUGCACACAGCCAGCACUGCUCUCACCUGAUGCCCUGCACGGGCACAAAUAGGUACCACUUUGCGCAGAUUUCUGCAGUACAAAUUACUCAUUUCUGUCUAAGCGCACACCAACCCCAAGUAAUCUCCUAAACUUGCUGCUCUGAUUGAUGUUUUGGGUUGUUUGGGUUUUUUUCUUCAGGAAAACAUUUAUCCACACAGAACCAAAAUCCAAACUCAAACAAUAAAACCUGAGGUUUUCCCAGGCAUGAUGUUAUUUGCUGUAA